rnacentral:rRNA from 1 species
GACGAACGCUGGCGGCGUGCUUAACACAUGCAAGUCGAACGGGCCUUGUCCCCUUUUUUUUGGGGGUGGGGUUAGUGGCGAACGGGUGAGUAACACGUGAGUAACCUGCCCCUCACUUCUGGAUAACCGCUUGAAAGGGUGGCUAAUACGGGGUGUUCUGGCCUGCUCGCAUGGGUGGGUUUGGAAAGAUUCGACCGGUUUUGGUUGUUUUGGUGGGGGAUGGGCUCGCGGCCUAUCGGCUUGUUGGUGGGGUGAUGGCCUGCCAAGGCUUUGACGGGUAGCCGGCCUGAGAGGGUGGGCGGUCACACUGAGACUGAGACACGGCCCAGACUCCUACGGGAGGCAGCAGUGGGGAAUAUUGCACAAUGGGCGCAAGGCUGAUGCAGCGACGCCGCGUGAGGGAUGGAGGCCUUCGGGUUGUGAACCUCUUUCGCCAGUGAAGAAGGUCCUGCUCUUUGUGGUGGGGUUGACGGUAGCUGGGUUAAUGAAGCGCCGGCUAACUACGUG